rnacentral:misc_RNA from 1 species
UACGUAGGUGGCAAGCGUUGUCCGGAAUUACUGGGCGUAAAGCGCACGUAGGCAGACCAGCCAGUCAGAGGUGAAAGGCCAGGGCUCAACCUUGGAACUGCCUUUGAUACUGUUGGUCUGGAGUUCGGGAGAGGUGUGUGGAGUUCCGAGUGUAGAGGUGAAAUUCGUAGAUAUUCGGAGGAACACCAGAGGCGAAGGCGACACACUGGACCGAUACUGACGCUGAGGUGCGAAAGCGUGGGGAGCAAACAGG